rnacentral:rRNA from 1 species
AUGGUGGCGAGGCAAGAGCAAGAUUCAGAUUUUUUCUUCAGGUACUUGGUUGAUGAAGCUGGCCAUCUGAAGGGACUGUUCUGGUGUGAUAGUCAAUCCCGACUUGACUACGAGGCUUUCGGAGACGUUAUUGUUUUUGAUAGCACAUACAGAACCAAUAAGUGCAAUCUGCCAUUUAGGCCGUUUGUCAGGUUGAAUCACCACCGCAGCACCGUUAUUUUUGCAUGUGGUAUCAUUUCACAUGAAACAAGCCAGGCAUACGAGUGGAUGUUACGGACCUUUUCUGAUGCUAUGGGACAGAAGCAUCCUAUAUUUGUGAUCACGGAUGGGGACCUUGCAAUGCAGAGAGCAAUCAGGGUGGUGUGGCCUGACUCAAACCAUAGGCUCUGUAUAUGGCACAUUCAGCAGAACAUUGUACGCCAUCUGCAUGAUGACGCGGUAAAGGAGGAAUUCAAAUCUUCCAUAUAUGAUACAUCUUCCAUUGAAGAGCAUGAGAGAAAAUGGUUACACUUCUUACAACGGAAUAAAGUAACAAGUGAGGACUCCUGGCUGCAUCAGACGUAUAAGAUGAGAAAACUGUGGUGUGCUCCAUAUCUUGAGGGCCGUUGUUUCCUAGGAUUGAGCAGCAAUCAGCGGAGUGAGAGUUUAAACUCGGUGCUACAUACGCAUCUUGAGUCUAAGAUGACAUUGUUUCAAAUGCUAGAGCACUAUGAGCGUUGCCUUGCGUCGGGACGCUUGAACGAGGCUCUCCAAGACGUCGAGGCCUUGCAGUCCGUUCCGUUCACAGAGGAAAAUGCUUCAGUUCUUGAGAAACACGCCGCGAAAGUUUUCACUCCCGCUGUGUUUAAGUUGGUCUUAUGGAGCAUAGAUGCUGUCAAAAAAUGUGAGAUCAGAGAGGUACUUGAUGCAGCAGAGGUUACCACAUACGUUGUGUCUAAGAAGAAAAGAAUGGAUAAAAAGAUCGAAGUGCACACAGAGUCUAAGGAAGGUCUGCUUCGUAGUAUCAGUUGUUCUUGCCGCAAAUUGGAAUGCGCAGGCACACCAUGUUCCCACAUAUUUUACAUAUUGGGAAUUUUACAAGAAGAAACACUGCCCAGGUGUUGUGUUCCCACUAGGUGGACAAUGAGUGCAAAAUGUGCAUUCGCACCGACCAGAAAGAGCGAGAUGUAUGCAUACUCUGCAGCCCUACAAAGGUACCGCAAGCUAAGGAAUUUUAGUCACGCAGCAUGUUUCAAGGCAUGCCACUCUGAUGAGGCGUUUCAGCAUCUGGGCAGUGUUUUGGAAGGACAAGAUGUUUGCAAGGGAUCAACAAGUGAACAAGCUGAAAGCAAGGGAUCAACUAAUGCUCAAGGUAACAGCAUUAGGUUUGGCCCGUUGAUGCCACAAUCCGCUAACCUUGAUGGUGAAGGUUUCGAAAAGGUUCUGGAUCCCGUGCAUGUGCCAGGCCGAGGUGCUCUGAAGAAAAGGCUACAUGCAAAGAUGAAGAAAACAAGAACAAAGGGUAGAUGUAGCUAUUGUCAUGAGGCAGAUGGUCACAAUCGACGAUCUCAAAGCAGAACUAUGAUAGCUACAACAUUGUGCGCACGGUCGGACAGCAAGUACGUCGACGAUCAACCUGAUGUUGGCGUGUGCAUUGUUGUCUAUGUCUAG